CCUACGGGAGGCAGCAGUAGGGAAUCUUGCGCAAUGGGCGAAAGCCUGACGCAGCAACGCCGCGUGGGGGAUGAAGGCUCUCGGGUUGUAAACCCCUUUCAGCAGGGACGAACACUGACGGUACCUGCAGAAGAAGCCCCGGCCAACUACGUGCCAGCAGCCGCGGUAAUACGUAGGGGGCGAGCGUUGUCCGGAUUUAUUGGGCGUAAAGAGCUCGUAGGCGGCUCGGUAAGUCGGAUGUGAAACCUCCAGGCUCAACCUGGAGACGCCAUCUGAUACUGCCGUGGCUCGAGUCCGGUAGAGGAGCAGGGAAUUCCUGGUGUAGCGGUGAAAUGCGCAGAUAUCAGGAGGAACACCAGCGGCGAAGGCGCUGCUCUGGGCCGGUACUGACGCUGAGGAGCGAAAGCGUGGGGAGCGAACAGGAUUAGAUACCCUGGUAG
rnacentral:rRNA from 1 species